rnacentral:rRNA from 1 species
GUAGGGGGCGAACGUUUGUCCGGAUUUAUUGGGCGUAAAGAGCUCGUAGGCGGCUCAGCAAGUCGGCCGUGAAAGCCCGGGGCUCAACCCCGGGACGCCGGUCGAAACUGCUGUGGCUAGGGUCCGGUAGAGGAGAGUGGAAUUCCCGGUGUAGCGGUGAAAUGCGCAGAUAUCGGGAGGAACACCAGUAGCGAAGGCGGCUCUCUGGGCCGGUACCGACGCUGAGGAGCGAAAGCUAGGGGAGCAAACAGGAUUAGAUACCCUGGGUAGUCCUAGCCGUAAACGUUGGGCACUAGGUGUGGCGGACUCAUUGACGUCUGCCGUGUCGUAGCUAACGCAUUAAGUGCCCCGCCUGGGGAGUACGGUCGCAAGGCUA